ensembl:lncRNA
CACAUGGUGGAAGUGGGAGCCAGGGAUUAAAGCGGACAGGAUGCUAUUUUCAUGCUGCUUCUGAAAGGAAUGGCUUCUCUUCCAGCAGAGGAAGGAGCUGCGGCUGCACGGUGCCAUGCAACAGCGAGCUGCCUGCCAGCUUCCUGUCCAGACCAGGGGUCAGCAGCUCCCUGAAGGACGUGCCCGGCUGCUGAGCUGCAGUGGCCACAUGAGAGCAGCAGCAGCAGCACAGCCCUGCUCCACCAGCCUGGGUGCACAGGAGCUCCCUGACCUCAGGCCUGGCACACAGCAGGUUCCCAAAGUCAGCAUGCGUGACUCUGAAAGAUCCCACCCCGGCCAGAGUGAGGCAGCAAAGCUUCCAGAAGCCAAAGCAGCUGAAAUGAAAAAACGUUCUGUAUUCCACCACUUCAGCUUUGUACAGUAGUGUCAGAAAUAUCACAGCUGGAACCAAUGCUGUCUAGAAGCUCUGAUACAGGCCCAGCUGCUUGUGAUUCUACAGCACGCCCACAGGAACUCAAACAACAGGACGACUUGAGAUGACAGAAGGAAGAAUGAAGAUUCUUCCAGAACUUUCUAAGAAGCUUCCACUGGAUGACAGUAAAUUUUCCUCUCCCAGCACAGUUUCUGACAUGCUUACAACAGCUGGGAGCAGUGCUGACUCUGGGCAGCUCAUCUGAGUUCUCACUCCAAUCUGAAAUCUUUGCAAAGAAAUGCAAGCUCCUCCUCUGCAGAAGGAAGAAAAUCAGAUGAAAGAGCAGCACCUCCAGCUGAAGUGGAACUCUUCAGAAGACAAAGUCGUGGAUGGAGUGGGGAAAUCAGGCAGCAAACGCCCGGGCUCUGUUCUCCUGAGCUCUGCAGCCAAACAAGCCCAGCACCUGGAGCAGCCCUUUCAAUUGGAUGGCUCCUCAGCAGGGAAAACCACCUCACAGCGCUGCCCCAUGGAUCACAGCCAUGUCUUAUUGCAAAGUCCUUAAUACUGUCAUACAGAAACCUAUUCUUUUUUUAACCAGCAGACAAUUACUGAUGUAGUACAAAAGUCAGUGGUUACUCUUCUGGGGAUCACUUCUCGCUGCAUAUACAAGAUAGGCAAAAAAAUAGAGUACCUUAUGCACUAAGUACAAAAUUAAACAUGUUUGUAAAUGUGCACACACGUGUGGACACGGUUGCCAUAUUUCCCUUUCAGUUGUCGGGAAAGACUACAAGUUCUUAAAAAACCCAUUUUGGCUAAUCAGGUCAGGCUACAUCAGGGCAGCCCAUUUCUGGAAUAACAGAUGCUCCUAAUUUGUCCUUAACAUCAUGCCUAACAUUGUCACAAUUGGAUGCCAGAGUCCCUGCUUUGGAGCACCGCCUGUCAGAACUGAGAUGGCCACGGAGGGAGCUCUGAGCCACUCUGCCAUUCGAAACAAUGGGAUCUAUUAAAAAGGAAAAACAAAAAUCAAGCCAGAAAUGGCUGACACGUGCUGAAGGGAGAGGGCAAAGCUGCAUGGACACUCAGUAAGAGUUGAAAUUGAGGCAGAAGAACAGAACCAAAAAUAGUUUGUUAGUGAAUCAGAAGCAUGGAAGGAGACAGUGAGCAAUGGAACAGCACAUGGAGAGGAUCUGUUGGAAAGUGAAUGCACACAUUAUCAUGUACAGAGAUCAGAAGUGAGACUGAAACAGAGCUAUUCCAGAACAAAUACUUCUUUGAAAAAUCAAACAUUUUAAAGUUUUUUUCUUCGUACUGAAUCUACAUAACUGUUUUGUUGUUGCUGUUUUGUUUGCAUUUGUUCGAUGCGACUCUUACAUCAAAUAGGUUGUGAAUAGGAAUGUUGCAAACAAGAACACUGUAAUCAUAUGUUGGCAUACACUCAAGGAAUUCAUGUGCAAAAGCAUUUUCACUGAAAUUCUGAAAGUUACGUUCAUCCAAUCCAAAAAGUAAAACAAAAUCACAUGUGGAAAGUGAAACAGCACGUUAUCUGAAGUUAAAAUACACUCUUGCCAAUUCCAGCUGUUCAAACAUAAUCAGUGAAAACCUUUGCUUUCCAUUUUUCUCACAGAGACUGGUAUUAGCAAUUAAAAGAACAGCCAUCAAAAUAGCAAGGCACAAACAAGCAUCUCACACAUCUUUCCCCACUCACUGUACCUGCUGGUUUAAUAGAGGGUAUUACCUCUCCUAACAGCACCGUGUGCAAGUAGGAGGAGAAAGAAUGAAUUAGGCUGAACAACCUGUUAGAAAGCUGAUCAUUUACAGGAGUUUAGCAACAGCUGGGGUGCAGUGACUGGAAAAUAAGUGAAGAUAUUAGGUGAGAUACCCCCUAAAACUGUCUGAGUCAUUUUCCCAGAAGUGCAGCUCAGUGGUCUUCAGAGCACGUGGCAGCACGAGGAGCUGAUGGCACACUGUCUUUAAGUGUCAGCAGCACACAGGCAAUAAAAACUGGAAAGCCACUGCAGCCACUUAU